rnacentral:misc_RNA from 2 species
CGCUCCUGCCCUGUUGGGCGGGACGGGAAGAACGCCGCUCUCCGGAGCGGCGUUUUUUUUGCGCAAA